rnacentral:rRNA from 1 species
CACGGGGGUUGCGAGCGUUGUCCGGAAUUACUAGGCGUAAAGGGCAGGCAGGCGGAUCCAUAAGUUUAUCGUUUAAGGCGUCGGCUUAACCGGCGUAGGGCGGUAGAUACUGUGGAUCUGGAAUGCGGUUGGGGCAGACAGAAUUCCUGGUGUAGCGGUGGAAUGCGCAGAGAUCAGGAGGAAUACCGAAGGCGAAGGCAGUCUUCCAAGCCGUUAUUGACGCUCAACUGCGAAGGUGUGGGUAUCAAACAGGAUUAGAUACCCUGGUAGUCCCU